rnacentral:lncRNA from 1 species
AAUAAAGUGCGCACAAAUGAGCAGGGACUUGGAAUACACAUAUCUCGAAUCUCAAAACGCAGCGUUCAAAUAAGGAUUAAAUUGUAACAAUGCGCAAAUCUCAGGGAAAAUGUAAAAAAUAAAUAAAACAUGAUUGAGGCUUAAUUAAAGAUCGGUGCAGGAGAGGAGGGACUACAUGCGCAAUUAGCCCUCAAAGACCAAAACAUGCGGAUCUCGAUGGGCACCGGGUCGGGUCGCACGGGUAAGGCCUAUACGGCACCGUUUUGGAGCCACUGAAACAGGCCCUAAACGGUGCCGUUUCAUGCUCUUCAUAAAACAAAAAUAAAAAUAAAAAACCCUAAACUAACAUUUGGCUAUUUGAAAAAGAAUCAAAAUAAAACCUAAAGCCUCCCUUCCACUCUCAUUCAGCCGAACCAAAAAGCUCUACCACUUCACCUCCAUACUCAACGGACGGCAACGUAUGAAGGUUUAUCCUGGCCUUAUUCGACCGCAAAUCUGAGGGUUUUGUUAUGCUUAACCUCAAUCCUCAUCUAGCUUCGAUUACCACGACGUAAACAAGGAUUCGAAGCCUCCUAAGAAAGAUAAGUAUUAACGCUUUCAUUUAUUUUGUUUUUUACAUACAAUGACGAAGAUCAAAGAAAAAUAGAAGCAAAAACGAAAGACAAAAAAUGAGAUUUAAAAUCACCUUUGGAAAACUCUUUUUCCUAUUCAAACUUUUGGUAUAGAUUUUGUAUCGUCUCUCCCAAAAAUCCCCCUUUACAUUCAAUUUCAUUUCGUUUUAUAGCUGAAAAAUAAGAAUAAAAUAAAUAAGAAAAUCAAAUUUCCUUGCUGUAAUUUCUGUUAUUUGCUGUCCAUUGCUCUUUUGUUUGUUAGUCUGCUGUAGGUGUGUAUGGCGUGGAGAAGCCAUUCGUGGGCAUGUCGACGUGGAGAAUGAAGCAACGGCGCGCGUGAAAGCUGGCACGAAGGUAGCAGCGGCACAAGGGGGAAAGGUAACCCUAUAGUUCUAAAAAUAUUAAACUUUCGGGCCUGGGCUAGUUUUUGUCAUUGGGCCGUUGCAAUUUGAUUUGUAUUUUGAGGCUUUUUAUUUUGGAUUUUGGGCUUGGGAUAUUAUUAUGGACAUUGGACUUUAAUUUUGGUUUUUUUUUUGUUUUGGUUUAUUUUGUUUUUUGGUUUUUGUAUGGCCCGGGCUAAAAUUGGGCCUUACAAUGUAAAGACUUAUUUAUUGAAUGCUUAAAAGAAAAUUAUUCUACACGUCUCAAAAUCUUUGUAUUUUACUAACUUCAUUUUUUUUUAUUUUUGUGAAAAAUAAAAUAAAAUAAAAUAAAGAACACACAAAUUUUACGUGGAAACCCUUUCGGGAAAAAACUACGGGCAGAGAAGAAGAAAAUUCACUAUGUUGAAAAAUUUGAAUCAAAUACAAGAGGAAUAGACUAUGUCUAUUUAUAGGUUUGCAAAGCCAUAUUCUAGUAGGAUUGAAACACCUUAUCCUAAUCAAUAUAAAAUAGAUGGAGUUUAAUAAGGUUUAAAAAUCUUAUUCUAAAAUAAAAUAAAAGAAGUCUAGUUCUAUAUGGAUUUUACUUUUAUUUUAUUUUUCAUCGUAUUUUAUUUAAAUAAGAAUUUGGGUCACUUAAUUCUAACAAUUUUCAUGUUUCAAUUUUUUAAUAUGUUUUUCUAGCAAUCUUAACACUGUAAUAUCAAUUUAUUAUGAAGCAGGAAUUAUUCUGUGGCUACUAUGCCCCUUCUUACAAUGUGACAAUAAUUUUAAGGAUCCAUCAAAUAUAGUGAAAAGAUGAAUGAAAGAGCGUAUUGAUAUAUAUAAUAUCGUGAUUGUUGAUUUAAACAUUCUUUAGUAAAAGAUGUACAUUUUGCAUUGAUAAUUAUAGUGAAAUUUUUUAAAAUAAGAACUAUGAGAACAAAAACGAUUUUAGCUAUUAGAUAAAAAAUAAAUAGUUCUAAGCCUUAGAUUUUGUAUUUAUCUUACUUUAUUAAAAUCAAAACCAGCAACACCUAAUCUUUUAAUUCAUUUUUUCUUUUUACCGUCUAAUUGAAGUUUUAGGGUGAAAAAAUUUUAGGUAAUCUUUGUUUUCAGAUUUAAUUUUUUUAAGAAAAAAUAUGCAAUGGAAAGAGUUUAGGUUAUUAAGAUUCAUCAAAUUGGGUAUUAGGUACUAGUUUUUCUUGAUUGAAUAAAUUGGUAGACCGUUUCAUUCUAAAAAAAUUAAAAUUUUUUUCUUGGUUGAUUUUAAGUACUUACUUUUUUACUCAAUCAAUGUAAAAGUUCCAGUUUUUUAAAAAUGAAAUGGUCAACCAAUUUUUUUAAUAAAAAAACAAAUAUCUAAUACACAAAUUGGUUAAUCUUAAUAACCUUAAUAUCUUGCUUUCAAUUCCCAUUUUUUUCAAAAAAAAAAAAGAAAUUAAAUAUGAAAGUAAAGAUUACCAAAAAAAAUAAAUUUCACCUUGAUACUUUAAUAACACACUGAAAAGAAAAAGAAUAGAAAAAAUGAGUGUUGUUGGUUUUAUUUUAAUAAGGUAGAACCAUUUAUUUUGAUUCAAUGGCUAUGAUUAUUUUAGUUCUCAUUGUUCUCAUUUUAAAAGUUCUCACUGUAGUUGCCAUUACAUUUUACAACCAUAAUGUAGUAAAAUUACAGUAUGAAAUUAUACAAUCUAAUAAUUUUAACUAUCUUAUGAAGAAAAAGUAAUUGAAAUGAUUCUUAAUCUUAUAGGAUUAAAGUGUGACUUCUUUAUUUAGUUUAUCCAACUUAAAGUUGAAUUUAUGGAAAUAGAAUGGUUAAAAUUUAUAUGAAUGAAAAUUAGAGUUCUGGUCAUAACCAAUGCCGACUAUUUCCUAAUAAAAGGGGACGAUGUCUAAAAAUAUGUUGUAAAAUAUAUUUUGGCCAUGUUAGUCUAUGAAUUGAUUAUAUUAGAGAUCCAAUCUCAAAUUUAAGAUAAUGAAAUGGCAGAGGAAAUAAUUUUGUUUAACUAGUAGUACCACAACUAGAAUGAGUUUUGACCAUAUUAUUAGACAUUGAUAAUGAGAACCAAACAAUUAAUUAGUAACUUUUAAUUUUAAAGUUCAAUGGAUAAAAACAAGUUAUCGUUUGUGUUUGUGAUGCAUUAGUAAAACUCAUUCUAAAACAAGUUUAAUAGAAACUAUUAAAGGAACUUUAUCUAUAGAACAUAAGAAGUGGUGCUGCUUUGAUGUGAUUCUGGUCACAUCAUGGUACAAAGUAAUUCGACGAAGUCGAAAUUGGCCCAAACACAAGGAGCCCAAGUACAAAAUGAAACAUCUCAUGGGCUUGAUUGAUUAUUGGGCUAACUAUUUCAAAGACAUUUUUCUUAUUUUAAUAAGUUGCAUUUUAAUUUAAUCCACAAAUUUUACUUGCAUUAUAUUUAAUAUGUUGCAUGAGUUAUUUAUGUUAAUGCAUGAGUUUGAGUCAUAUGUCCAUAUUAUAUGUGUGUGGUGUGUUGUUCAUUUUAUGUUGUUGUGUUUUAUUGCAUGUUGCAUGUUAAGAUAUAUAUAUAUGCGUAUGAUAGUAUGUUUGGGUCAUUGCUCGUAAAUGUUACAUAUAUGCGUGUGUCUAGUGCAUGUGUGUUAAUAACUAAGUGGUGUCUUGUGUUUAUAUUAUUUAUACGUGUGAGUCUUAGUCGAAUUUUGGAAUGAUUUGUUGCAAAGUAUGAUGGCUAUUUAUAUUGGUUGUAGGUGACCUAUUGGUGUCCCAAGAGUGACCUUUCAUUUAGCCGAAUGCAUGCACACAAAAAGCUUCUAAAAUAUUCAAGAACCAGCUUUCAAUGAAGAUGCAUUAUGACCAUUCAAAUGUUACUCAACUACAUGUCUUCAUGCAUUUCUUAAUGAGGAAAAAUUCAUGAACAAAUCAAGGAAAUGUGCUUCAUAAAUUCAACCAUUGAAUGAGAAUAUACAUGCACCAAAGUGGGGAAUGAACUUCAAGGAUCCAUGCAUCAAAUUCAUGAACCAAGAAUCUCAUUAUGGCAUGAUUAAUGGAAAUGAAUGUCCCAUGCUGUAAUGAUCUGAAUUUUACCGAUACUGGAAAAGUGUAAUUUCGAGUCUCCGUUUAUGAAAAAUGGAUUCGUAAAUAUUUAUUAAAAAUAUUUACGAAGUUAAGUAAGUGAGUAAUUAAAGUCUAAUAAAGUGAAUUUAGCUUAAUUAGGAAUAAUUAAGUAGAAGGAUUAAAUUGAAUAAAGAAUAAAAGUCUAAUUAUAGAAUAAAGAAAAGUCAAGGGACUAAAUAGGAAUUAAGCCAAAAGGUGGCGACAAAUGUAUGGUGAAAAUAAGGUAGAUGUGUAAAAAUAUAAUAUGUACACAUGUAUUAUACAUAUGUAUUUACUUAAUUGAUAAGUAAAAUUAUAAUAA